UCUGGAGACAGGUGCUGCAUGGCUGUCGUCAGCUCGUGUCGUGAGAUGUUGGGUUAAGUCCCGCAACGAGCGCAACCCUUGCCUUUAGUUGCCAGCAGUUCGGCUGGGCACUCUAAAGGGACUGCCGGUGUUAAACCGGAGGAAGGUGGGGGAUGACGCCAAGUCCUCAUGGCCUUUAUGACCAGGGCUACACACGUACUACAAUGGCCGAUACAAAGGGCAGCGACACUGCGAGGUGAAGCCAAUCCCGUAAAAUCGGUCUCAGUCCGGAUUGGAGUCUGCAACUCGACUCCAUGAAGUUGGAAUCGCUAGUAAUCGUGGAUCAGCAUGCCACGGUGAAUACGUUCCCGGGCCUU
rnacentral:rRNA from 1 species